UACGGAGGGUGCGAGCGUUGUCCGGAAUCACUGGGCGUAAAGGGCGCGUAGGCGGCCUGAUAAGUAGGGGGUGAAAUCCUGCGGCUUAACCGCAGGGCUGCCUUCUAAACUGUCAGGCUGGAGCACAGUAGAGGCAGGUGGAAUUCCCGGUGUAGCGGUGGAAUGCGUAGAGAUCGGGAAGAACAUCAGUGGCGAAGGCGGCCUGCUGGGCUGUGCUGACGCUGAGGCGCGAAAGCUAGGGGAGCAAACGGG
rnacentral:rRNA from 1 species